rnacentral:sRNA from 1 species
AGUUCAAGCUGCAGCCUUUGCUGAUGACGGUCAGGAGGCCAACUGCGCCUGGGGAGCAGCGGGAUCCGGGGAUGGGGCUGCCCUGUGUGCUCACCCACCUGACCUGCCCCAGGCCUCCUCCUGUCCCCACCCUGCCUAAAGCUCUAGAGUUCCCCUGCGCUGGCCUCAGGAUUGCAAGCAGUGCAAGGGCCUGGUCCCGGCCCUGGUCUCAGCCCUAUCCAGAUGUCCAAGGCAGGUGGACCACCCGCUGAGCGUCAGAAAUGGGGCCUCCUCCCCUCCCACGCCCUCCGUCGCCACCCAGCUCUGUGAAAGCCCAAGUCUGGCUCCCAGACACCACCGAGUGCCGAGUCCUCCAGCCUGUCUAGAGCGUCCCGGAAGUAGCUGGGGGAAGACCAGGAGGCGCGGACUGGAGGAGAACAGAGUGGCCGGCACUUCCGGCCGGCGGCGGCUGUUCUGGGUGAGCAGGUCCCUGAAGUGCUGUGCUGGAGAUACCGUUGUGGACCCUGGAGAGGCACCUGCUGCUUAUGCGGUAAAAGCUUUACCACCCCAAACCUGGUCAGUUUGAGGGGAG